CUUAUAGUCUCAAUAUAAACCGGAGACCUCUCAUGGUCUCAAUAUAACUAGAGUCCUUAGACCUUUCCUAUCUACUGGAUACAGACUUACUGAACCAAACGGGGGUCAUAGACAAUCAGCGUCAAAUAAGACACAAAAAGGCUACUCACCGCAAAUGGUUUUGCUGAUCCAACUUCUAUCCCACUUCUAGACACCAAGCUGAAAGGGUUAAUGUUGUAAUGGACUCUAAUCCCC